GAAAGUAGAGGUCUCUCUGCUGAUACACUUGCUUCCUUAGCUUCAGUAAUCUACAACACAAAAGAUAUGGAAGAUGGCAACACAGAACAAUGUGUAAUUUGUCGCAGGGAAUUUGAGAAAGGUGAAUCCUUCGUUGCACUUCCCUGCAAGCAUUCAUACCAUCCUGACUGCAUUAUUCAGUGGCGUCAAAUAAAUAAGGUACAAUGCCACUUUCAACCUAGUUAUUGUUAG
rnacentral:rRNA from 1 species